UCUGGAGGAGGCGUGGCUUUGUUCUGCUGCAGCGGAGAAAUAUGACAUGGGGACGAGAGAGAGAGAGACAGCCUGACAGGAAUUAACGGCUCGACAGAGUUUCUGGACUGCGAAACGUGAGGAUGGGGAGUAAUGACUGAAAGCAAAAGGUGCAGCAGGGCACCGAGGAGAGGGCGCUUGACACCUGAUCAAUUGCAACAGUGGAUUGUGUUCCUGUCAUUGGCAUUUAGCUACAGAAAAGCAGAGAUGACGCUUGUUGUUAAACCCAGUUGGAUUUCAUUGUGGCAGUGCCUCUUUAUCAAAGUGCUUGUCGACUGAUGCUUCUGUGCCAGUUGCUCAAGACCUACUUCAAAAAUAAAAUGUCACGCAAAUAAGUCUUAUUUUUAUUCACAUAUUUGGCACCAAAGGACCCAGCAGCCAGGAUGUUUUUUUUCUCUCACUCUGGUAUCAGGAGGCAGGAUCUUAAAAAAACAGUCUAGGUAAAUCAUCAUGUAAACCCCUGAAAGGCACCUGGAAAGGGGGCUUAAAUCUCUCGUUUCCUUUUGAAAAAAAUUCUACUUCUUCAUGCCGGACUCGACCAAAAGUCCUGCAGUGCAGAGGACAUGCAGUGAGUCAAGUCCCCAUGAUAAUCACAGCCCAAUCACUGCACGGCUUUGAGGCCAGCGUUGUUCUUCAGAAAUCUCCACAGGUGGGAUGGCGAUGUUAAGUGUCUGCAGGCAGAGUGAGGUCAGCUAGAGGCCAUGCAGGCGAGCAAACAGACGUCUCUCACAGACACACACACAAAAAAGAGGAGGGAGGAGCUUUCAGGAGUCACUGCUCAGUGGUCACAUGUGAGUCUGCACGUUGGCCUUAAUGUUGGACAGGCACUUUUGGGAAAAUGUGUCCCCCGAACAUUCUCAAAUGUGUUCGAGAAUACAACACACAGAGAAGUUGUAAGCUUGUAUGAUGGAGCUGCAAUAAAUGCUUACACCAGUAUUCCCUUACCUGCUCUGAUAAAGGCUUCAACCACCGAAAUGUUGUAAUAUCUUUUGUGUUUU
ensembl:lncRNA